rnacentral:rRNA from 1 species
GACGAACGCUGGCGGCGUGCUUAACACAUGCAAGUCGAACGGAAAGGCCCUGCUUUUGUGGGGUGCUCGAGUGGCGAACGGGUGAGUAACACGUGAGUAACCUGCCCCUGACUUUGGGAUAACUUCAGGCAACUGGGGCUAAUACCGGAUAGGAGCUCCUGCUGCAUGGUGGGGGUUGGAAAGUUUCGGCGGUUGGGGAUGGACUCGCGGCUUAUCAGCUUGUUGGUGGGGUAGUGGCUUACCAAGGCUUUGACGGGUAGCCGGCCUGCGAGGGGGACAGGCCACAUUGGGACUGAGAUACGGCCCAGACUCGUACGGGAGGCAGGAGUGGGGAAGAUUGCACAAUGGGCGGAAGCCUGGUGCAGCAACGCCGCGUGCGGGAUGACGGCCUUCGGGUUGUAAACCGCUUUCGCCUGUGACGAAGCGUGAGUGACGGUAAUGGGUAAAGAAGCACCGGCUAACUACGUG